UACGAAGGGGGCGAGCGUUGUCCGGAAUCAUUGGGCGUAAAGCGCGCGUAGGUGGCCCCGUAAGUCCGCUGUGAAAGUCAAAGGCUCAACCUUUGAAAGCCGGUGGAUACUGUGGGACUAGAGUACGGAAGAGGCGAGUGGAAUUCCUGGUGUAGCGGUGGAAUGCGCAGAUAUCAGGAGGAACACCAAUAGCGAAGGCAGCUCGCUGGGACGUUACUGACACUGAGGCGCGAAAGCGUGGGGAGCGAACAGG
rnacentral:rRNA from 1 species